CUAAAGCGCAAGAGCAGCGAUGCUGGCCGUCAGGCAUGGAAAGGAGAAGCCGUGAACGUGCUUCCUUUAAGUGAAAGCUUUCCUCCAAUCAGUUCUCUCCAGAUUACACUUUAAAAAUAGAAAGUUGUGCAUAAGCCUGCUUCAAACCCUCCUGCAGUUGGCUCCUCCACUUUGAACAAGGUUGUGCUACUGAGGAUUAUAGAAAUAUCCCCAUUACAGUGCUCCACCAUGAGAGGAACAUGCCUUGGACAGGUACUUCCCAUCAACAUAGUCCCAGAACGAAGACACUUGGAACAGACUUGAACUGAACCUACAGCCAGGAGCCAAGACUGGCAGAUCCACACUCUGAAAGAGCUCUAGAUUAGCUGGAUCUUAUCAUGUACGGAUCCACAAAGCAGAUUUCCUUUUACCUCAGCAUCUGUUUAUCUUGGCUGAAAGCAUGUGAAUUAAUGGAAAGAAACUGCUCACCUUGAUGUUCAAGCACUGUGUGACAUAAUUUAGCAACAAUCAAGAUUCCUGUGACUUUCC